GUAGGGAAUAUUGGGCAAUGGAUGCAAGUCUGACCCAGCCAUCCCGCGUGCCGGAAGAAGGCCCUCAGGGUUGUAAACGGCUUUUGACGGUGAAGAAUCGACAGGAUGCGUCCUGUUUUGACGGUAGCCGUUGAAUAAGCACCGGCUAACUCCGUGCCAGCAGCCGCGGUAAUAUGGAGGGUGCGAGCGUUGUCCGGAUUUAUUGGGUUUAAAGGGUGCGUAGGCUGGUAGGUCAGUCAGCGGUGAAAAGCUGUCGCUUAACGAUAGUCUUGCCGCAGAUACUUCCUUUCUUGGAUGAGGAGGAGGCCACUGGAACGGAUGGUGUAGCGGUGAAAUGCAUAGAUAUCAUCCAGAACACCGAUUGCGAAGGCAGGUGGCUGUACCUUAAUCGACGCUGAUGCACGAAAGCAUGGGGAGCAAACAGGAUUAGAAACCCGAGUAGUCC
rnacentral:rRNA from 1 species